rnacentral:misc_RNA from 1 species
GAUUGACCAAUGAUCUAAUCAGUACUCGAAAGUACUAUGAUCAUCUUUUGUGAUCCGAACCCGAAGGUCCGAAUCUAAGAUGCUCGCGUCCACUGUGUAGUUCUCAAAGUACGGGCGGUACCUUUUCCGCCGGCCCAGUUAUGGCCGACCAAAAAAGGUCCAGAGGAUUCGGUUCUCAUCUCAGCGUCUUGAAGACACAGCGAUGAGGUCCGGUCCCUCAGGACCCAACAGCGUGCAUGUGCGAGGCUCCCCGGUCCGAACUGUUCCUUCCUGCAAGCAGGCGUACUAAGUUCGAGCCGUUCGGCUCCGCACCAAUGUCAAUGUUCCACCCAUGAGCUGACCGGCUGAGACCCAGUCGUACCGAUGUGAUAAGUACUGUCUCAGAUCCGGCGCCUGGACAAUCUCUGCGUUGAA